GUAACUACUAUUGAUUAUAGGGGGUCUUAUGGCACAGUGGUGGGGUGUCUAUCUCUGCGCCAGGAGGCCCGGUUCAAGCCCCACCUGUUCCAGAGGAAGAACGCUGGUCAACCAGACGCAAUUAAAGAGCAUUACGAUGACCUUUGAAGCAAAAACCUAUACGUGCCCAAGGGAAAAGCAGUGAUUAUUGGAAAAAGAAGCUGUUCAGCUUUCCAAGCCCUGUCAUAAUGAGGCCUCGAGUUACCAGCUGGAGAGUCUCCGGUCUCAAAAUUCAGGCAUUAUGUGUCAUGAGCCUCCACGCGUCCCUCAUUCAAAAUAGAACGAACUUUUAAUUUUAAGGCCAAUAAACCCAUAGUAAUUAAUCUAAAAGAAUUUCAAAUACUUAAGCAAAAAUAAUAAUAAAAAUAUUGGAAAGUUGGCCUACUUGGAACUUGAUAGUUGGACAUUUAAUUGUGAAGUGCUACUCUCCCAAAUGGGAUCGCAGUUAAUAGGAGGGCGUGGAGAAGUUUGCUGCUACGUAUCAGGA